rnacentral:rRNA from 1 species
GACGAGGGAUGCAAGCGUUAUCCGGAAUUACUGGGCGUAAAGGGCGUCUAGGCGGUUGGAUAAGUCAUUUGUGAAAUCCCAGGGCUUAACCCUGGAAGGUCUUGUGAUACUGUCCGGCUUGGGUGUAGGAGAGGAGAGCGGAACUCACAGAGUAGCGGUGGAAUGCGUAGAUACUGUGAGGUACCCCGAUGGCGAAGGCAGCUCUCUGGCCUACUACCGACGCUGAAGCGCGAAAGCGUGGGGAGCAAAGGGGAUUAGAUACCCGUGUA